UACGUAGGGUGCGAGCGUUAAUCGGAAUUACUGGGCGUAAAGGGCUCGUAGGCGGCCAACUAAGUCGGACGUGAAAUCCCUCGGCUUAACCGGGGAACUGCGUCUGAUACUGGAUGGCUUGAAUCCGGGAGAGGGAUGCGGAAUUCCAGGUGUAGCGGUGAAAUGCGUAGAUAUCUGGAGGAACACCGGUGGCGAAGGCGGCAUCCUGGACCGGCAUUGACGCUGAGGAGCGAAAGCCAGGGGAGCAAACGGG
rnacentral:rRNA from 1 species